UACGUAGGCAGCAAGCGUUGUUCGGAGUUACUGGGCGUAAAGGGUGCGUAGGCGGCUUUUUAAGUUUGGUGUGAAAUCUCCCGGCUCAACUGGGAGGGUGCGCCGAAUACUGAGAGGCUAGAGUGUGGGAGAGGAAAGUGGGAUUCCUGGUGUAGCGGUGAAAUGCGUAGAUAUCAGGAGGAACACCGGUGGUGUAAACGGCUUUCUGGACCAUAACUGACGCUGAGGCACGAAAGCGUGGGUAGCAAACAGG
rnacentral:rRNA from 1 species